rnacentral:rRNA from 1 species
UACGGAGGAUGCGAGCGUUAUCCGGAUUUAUUGGGUUUAAAGGGAGCGCAGACGGGAGAUUAAGUCAGUUGUGAAAGUUUGCGGCUCAACCGUAAAAUUGCAGUUGAUACUGGUUUCCUUGAGUGCAGUUGAGGCAGGCGGAAUUCGUGGUGUAGCGGUGAAAUGCUUAGAUAUCACGAAGAACCCCGAUUGCGAAGGCAGCUUGCUAAACUGUAACUGACACUGAAGCACGAAAGCGUGGGUAUCAAACAGG